rnacentral:rRNA from 1 species
GACGAACGCUGGCGGCGUGCUUAACACAUGCAAGUCGAACGGAAAGGCCCUGCUUUUGUGGGGUGCUCGAGUGGCGAACGGGUGAGAAACACGUGAGUAACCUGCCCUUGACUUUGGGAUAACUUCAGGAAACUGGGGCUAAUACCGGAUAGGAGCUCCUGCUGCAUGGUGGGGGUUGGAAAGUUUCGGCGGUUGGGGAUGGACUCGCGGCUUAUCAGCUUGUUGGUGGGGUAGUGGCUUACCAAGGCUUUGACGGGUAGCCGGCCUGAGAGGGUGACCGGCCACAUUGGGACUGAGAUACGGCCCAGACUCCUACGGGAGGCAGCAGUGGGGAAUAUUGCACAAUGGGCGGAAGCCUAAUGCAGCAACGCCGCGUGCGGGAUGACGGCCUUCGGGUUGUAAACCGCUUUCGCCUGUGACGAAGCGUGAGUGACGGUAAUGGGUAAAGAAGCACCGGCUAACUACGUG